rfam:Schistosoma mattheei strain Denwood, Zambia genome assembly, scaffold: SMTD_scaffold0001174
AUCCAGCUGACGAGUCCGAAAGAGGACGCGAUGCGCGUCUUGGAU